rnacentral:rRNA from 1 species
GAUGAACGCUGACAGAAUGCUUAACACAUGCAAGUCAACUUGAAUUUGGGUUUUUUAACUUAGAUUUGGGUGGCGGACGGGUGAGUAACGCGUAAAGAACUUGCCUCACAGCUAGGGACAACAUUUGGAAACGAAUGCUAAUACCUGAUAUUAUGAUUAUAAGGCAUCUUAGAAUUAUGAAAGCUAUAUGCGCUGUGAGAGAGCUUUGCGUCCCAUUAGCUAGUUGGAGAGGUAACAGCUCACCAAGGCGAUGAUGGGUAGCCGGCCUGAGAGGGUGAACGGCCACAAGGGGACUGAGACACGGCCCUUACUCCUACGGGAGGCAGCAGUGGGGAAUAUUGGACAAUGGACCAAGAGUCUGAUCCAGCAAUUCUGUGUGCACGAUGACGUUUUUCGGAAUGUAAAGUGCUUUCAGUUGGGAAGAAAAAAAUGACGGUACCAACAGAAGAAGUGACGGCUAAAUACGUG